rnacentral:rRNA from 1 species
UGCAGUCGAGCGAACUGAUUAGAAGCUUGCUUCUAUGACGUUAGCGGCGGACGGGUGAGUAACACGUGGGCAACCUGCCUGUAAGACUGGGAUAACUUCGGGAAACCGAAGCUAAUACCGGAUAGGAUCUUCUCCUUCAUGGGAGAUGAUUGAAAGAUGGUUUCGGCUAUCACUUACAGAUGGGCCCGCGGUGCAUUAGCUAGUUGGUGAGGUAACGGCUCACCAAGGCAACGAUGCAUAGCCGACCUGAGAGGGUGAUCGGCCACACUGGGACUGAGACACGGCCCAGACUCCUACGGGAGGCAGCAGUAGGGAAUCUUCCGCAAUGGACGAAAGUCUGACGGAGCAACGCCGCGUGAGUGAUGAAGGCUUUCGGGUCGUAAAACUCUGUUGUUAGGGAAGAACAAGUACGAGAGUAACUGCUUGUACCUUGACGGUACCUAACCAGAAAGCCACGGCUAACUACGUGCCAGCAGCCGCGGUAAUACGUAGGUGGCAAGCGUUAUCCGGAAUUAUUGGGCGUAAAGCGCGCGCAGGCGGUUUCUUAAGUCUGAUGUGAAAGCCCACGGCUCAACCGUGGAGGGUCAUUGGAAACUGGGGAACUUGAGUGCAGAAGAGAAAAGCGGAAUUCCACGUGUAGCGGUGAAAUGCGUAGAGAUG